UGGGGAAUUUUGCACAAUGGGCGCAAGCCUGAUGCAGCCAUGCCGCGUGUAUGAAGAAGGCCUUCGGGUUGUAAAGUACUUUCAGUCGGGAGGAAGGUGUCAAGGUUAAUAACCUUGGCAAUUGACGUUACCGACAGAAGAAGCACCGGCUAACUCCGUGCCAGCAGCCGCGGUAAUACGGAGGGUGCAAGCGUUAAUCGGAAUUACUGGGCGUAAAGCGCACGCAGGCGGUUGAUUGAGUCAGAUGUGAAAUCCCCGGGCUUAACCCGGGAAUUGCAUCUGAUACUGGUCAGCUAGAGUCUUGUAGAGGGGGGUAGAAUUCCAUGUGUAGCGGGGAAAUGCGUAGAGAUCUGGAGGAAUACCGGUGGCGAAGGCGGCCCCCUGGACAAAGACUGACGCUCAGGUGCGAAAGCGUGGGGAGCAAACAGG
rnacentral:rRNA from 1 species